rnacentral:rRNA from 1 species
GAUGAACGCUGGCGGCGUGCCUAAUACAUGCAAGUCGAGCGAACGGACGAGAAGCUUGCUUCCCUGAUGUUAGCGGCGGACGGGUGAGUAACACGUGGAUAACCUACCUAUAAGACUGGGAUAACUUCGGGAAACCGUAGCUAAUACCGGAUAAUAUUUUGAACCGCAUGGUUCAAAAGUGAAAGACGGUCUUGCUGUCACUUAUAGAUGGAUCCGCGCUGCAUUAGCUAGUUGGUAAGGUAACGGCUUACCAAGGCAACGAUGCAUAGCCGACCUGAGAGGGUGAUAGGCCACACUGGAACUGAGACACGGUCCAGACUCCUACGGGAGGCAGCAGUAGGGAAUCUUCCGCAAAGGGCGAAAGCCUGACGGAGCAACGCCGCGUGAGUGAUGAAGGUCUUCGGAUCGUAAAACUCUGUUAUUAGGGAAGAACAUAUGUGUAAGUAACUGUGCACAUCUUGACGGUACCUAAUCAGAAAGCCACGGCUAACUACGUG